rnacentral:lncRNA from 1 species
UGUGAGCAGACGUUGAACUCGCCUCCUCCCAUGAACACAACCAGGUUACAACAAUUUUAGGAAGAAUCACGCUGGAUUGAAAACUGAAAACUGGAUAAAAAGAACCCCCACAACAAGGGACAGUCCUGACGAAAGCAGAAGAGGCAGCAACUCCGGCAGGAGAGGAAAAAAGCCACCUUUGGGAGCAGCGGAGCUUCUCAGCUGGCCAGGCGGGAGCCACUCUAAGCGAGGACACCCCAGAAAAGCUAUCAGCCAAAAGCCGAAAAGAUCCGGGUCUUAAAGGGCCCACGCACAAACUCACUCAUUGCAGCAACCUAAAAUCACCAGAGAGAAGGCUGACUGUCCUUUGGUGAAACGAGACUCACCUGGUGGGCUCUGGGGGCAUCUUGGUGAGAGGAGGAUCCUCUCCAGAGACUGAGACAUUGGUGGGGGCUGUUGUUCUGAGCUGGUCCAGGCAUGCUAAUACGGACACAGGUGGGGGCCAUUGAGGUGCAUCCCUUGGGCUGUUAGCCCAGGGGUCUGCCACACCCACUACAGCACAGAUUUAAUCCAGCUCAGCCAGGGCAGGCAACCUGCCCUAGGGAUUGGCCCCACCUAACAGCAAGCCCUCAGGCUACUUUUCAGCCUGCAUUGACUGAAUGCCUUGAUCCUCUACAGGCAGGUAAAGGUGUCUGCCUCUGUGGGGCAGGGCUUGUGUGAG